GGAAGUGUAACGGCAGGGCAAAGCCCAGUGACUACAGGAGCAGAGAGGAGAAAGCCACCAUCGCUGCCUUUGGAGGCCGAGGACGCUGAAGAAGAUCUCAGGGAGGAUGACGGCGUGGGCUCUAAGUGUGGGGCUGGACACCAGGGUGGGGUGCAUGAGAGAGGAGGACAUGGCCCCGCUCUCAAACAGCUUGCAGUCCAGCGGUGAGGCUGAUUCCACAGGAAAGGAAGUGCUGACAGAGAGCUUCUACUUGGGGCUGGAAGAGCAAGACUGCACCGAUGGGAAGACACAUCUCCUUCUGACCUGGACCCAGCCCCAGGGGAGCCCAUGCGGGUCCGGCCCCAAGGCUACGUGGAGCAGGUGGGUGUGCCUGGCAGUGCAUCCCGGAUCUGGGAACUUUCCUGCACUCACCCUUCGCGGGCUGGAGGGAAUGCCUUUAAGAAGAGCAAUCACAUCACAGAGGUUAAUUCCAGUCCUCUGAGCAGCCGCGGGAGGGGUGGCUCCCUGUUCUCGGGGGAAGCAGUCCAGCAUUGUGAAGGGAUGCAGAUGAAUAAAGUCACUGUUUACAAGAAAUUCUAAUCUUAGGGCAGUUCAAGGUAAAGACAGACAACAGCCAGGAACAGCCAAGAACAACACUCUGCCAGAACACAUGGAGACAGAGGCCUCCAGCCAGACAUUGUUUUUUCUCUAAAUAUUGUCACCAAAAAAACUCAUUCCGAAAAUCCCUCCGUCCCCUGGGCAGCCCCCAGCAUAUCAGUAAAAAUAAUAGUAAAAGUAAUUAGCUAUGAUAUUGGAUUGCCUACUAUGUACUAGACAUUUGUUUAUAUCACUUUAUUUUGAUGCUGACCCU